rnacentral:sRNA from 1 species
GGACAACCUGCAUUGGACCCAGCUAUUGCUGCAGCAUUUGCCAAGGAGACAUCCCUCUUAGGGCUUCCUGUUGCAGCUGUUCCAGGAGCUCUGAGUCCUUUGGCUAUUCCAAAUGCUGCUGCAGCAGCUGCUGCAGCUGCUGCUGGCCGAGUGGGUAUGCCUGGAGUCUCAGCUGGUGGCAAUACAGUCCUGUUGGUUAGCAAUUUAAAUGAAGAGGUGUUUAUGGAGAUGUGCAGCGUGUGAAGAUUUUGUACAAUAAGAAAGACAGCGCUCUAAUACAGAUGGCUGAUGGAAACCAAUCACAACUUGCCAUGAAUCAUCUUAAUGGACAGAAAAUGUAUGGAAAAAUUAUUCGUGUUACUCUGUCUAAACAUCAGACUGUACAGCUACCUCGAGAGGGACUUGAUGAUCAAGGGCUAACAAAAGAUUUUGGUAAUUCCCCAUUGCAUCGUUUUAAGAAACCUGGAUCCAAAAAUUUUCAAAACAUUUUUCCUCCUUCUGCCACUCUUCACCUAUCUAAUAUCCCUCCAUCAGUAGCAGAAGAGGAUCUACGAACACUGUUCGCUAACACUGGGGGCACUGUGAAAGCAUUUAAGUUUUUUCAAGAUCACAAAAUGGCUCUUCUUCAGAUGGCAACAGUAGAAGAAGCUAUUCAGGCCUUGAUUGAUCUUCAUAAUUAUAACCUUGGAGAAAACCAUCAUCUGAGAGUGUCUUUCUCCAAGUCAACAAUUUAAAAAUGGGAAGAUGAAGAUUGGGGGUGAAUCACAUUGUUCAAU